AGUCCUUGUACUCUGGUGAUAUGAUAAGCAUGUAAGUUGUUUUUGUGUAGAAUUCGAAGAAUCGUGAAGCAACUAAGAUUAUACCGCAAAGAAAGGUUUCUUGCACUUAUGUCAGGAUGUUCCAAAACGUCCUUUAGUAUUUGCUCUUCAACAUUUACACUAACGCGUCGUCGACGACCACCAUGUCGUCUAAGUUUUUC